AUUGAUUAAGUACAAACCAAUAUGGAGAUUGCUUAUACUUGAAAUAACACCCCACCAAGCAAGUUUUCUGCAAAAUUAGUUAGCGAUACUAUAAAUUAGAACAAGGAAGACUAAAUUAGGGAAUUUAACAAUUAACUGGACAACCCCUUGUCGUAUUUCAGCUCCUUCUUCAAUUAGGGCACAGAGAUCGCAAACAGAAUUUCUCUUCGCCAAUUGCAAUCAGAUGACGAGAAUUUCUCUGCUGCGUUACUCUAUGGCAAAAUUCAAGGAGCUAGGAAUUCAAGCAAUCAUUUUUCAUGGAAAUGUAAUCAAGAAUGUUGUUCUAAGACAUCUCCGCUUACUGAACCAGCAAUGCAGCCACUUAUAUUUUCAUGUUAUGACUCGACUUCAGCUGCUUGUAUGGAAGGACAUGGUCUUCUAAAGCACGACAAUAUAUGACAUUUUGAAAGAUGAUGCUGUGCACAACAGAUGAUACUAUGUUAUGAUGCUGUGCAGCGGAACACAAACCGUAUUGUUGGAGCCUCUGGUGGUUUUGGAAACUGGGGAAAAUAAAUCAAUUGCUGGAAUUAUUAGAGAAAGAGAUUCACACUCACAUGUGCUAUUCAAACUUCAAUGACGUGAGCGAUUCCAUUAAGGACAUGGAUGCUAGCGUGAUCACCAUCGAGGAAUCCAGGUCUGAUGAGAAGCUUCUUUCUGUGUUCCGCGGGGGAGUGAAGUACGGUGUUGGAUUAUACGCAUCCAUUCGCCAAACAUUGAAUCAACAGUAGAAAUUGCUGACAGAAUCAGCAAAAUACUUGCAGUCCUUGAUGCCAACAUCCUCUCAGUCAACCCCGAUGGUGGCCUUAAGAUGUGCAUGCAUACUGAAGUUAAGCCUGCACUCAGCAACAUGGUAAACAUACAUCUCCACAGUGUCCACUGGUCCUGAAAAGGUUACUGCAUCUUAUGAGUACUUCAGUGGAAUUGUUGUGCCAUUUGCCUAGUAAAAACUAAACUAUUAGCUGCAACGACACAAUCCUGUUCCUCUACUGUCUCGAAUGCAAAUUCUAGCACGAGGAAGACCGCAGAAACCAAAAGUUACCUCCUUUGUAACAGGGUCAGAGUGUACCAAUCCAUUACAGAUAAGGUCUUCCCCACAGGUACUAUUGUGCUUCCUAUUAGUUGUGAGGUGCCGAUAAAGACGUUAGGUUCAAGCCCUAACGCAUUUCUAUGAUGGCGUGGCCAUAUUAUCCCAAGAUAUUUGAGUAAGACAUUGAUUCGAGUCUUAGUAUACCAUGGCGACUCACGAUAAAUUAAUAUAUAUUUGGUGUAAAUAUUGGGUGCAUGUAAACUUUUACCAAGUUCCGUGAGUGAUUUCACUAAAAAUAUUCCUCAAACUAGUUUUUCAACUUUAAAUUCUCUAUUUCAAGUUAAAGUUGAAAUAAUGUGAAUUACGAUUGGUUAAGAAUAUAAAAUAUAUAAACUAAUUUCAAGAUUGCUUAUAGUAAAAAUAAAAAUCCAACCAAACAAAUUUUCUGAAAAAUUAGUGGUAUAAACUAGAACAAGGAAGACUAAAUUAAGCUUAAGAGAGUAGGAAAUCCAGAGAGCUAUGUUACUUCUUCCUUCACUCAAAAACUCCAAAAUGGAAAUUCCCCGAAUACCUUUUCUUCCACUUAGAACACGUGAGGACUAAAAGUGAAAACAGAAACUACAAUGACCAGCCAAAUGUGGAAAUAAUAAAUAUAAAGAGGGCCUAACUGUCAACUAGGGAAUUUAGCAAUUAGCUGGACAGCCCAUUGUCGCAUUUCAGCUCCUUCUUCAAUUAGGGCACAGAGAUCGCACACAGAAUUUCUCGUUGGCGAUUGCAAUCAGAUGACGAGAAUCUCUCUGCUUCGUUACUCUUCCUAUGGUAUGAUUCCCUUUAUCUCAUCUUAUGCUAUUUCACGUUCUGCUUCGGCAACCAGAUAUUAUUCUUCAUCUCAUAGCAAUAUUGAGAAUGUCAACUGUUUAGAUGAUGCUCCGAGUCUCUUUCGUCGAAUGGUUAGGACGCAGCCUCUUCCUUCUGCUUUUAGCUUCUCCAAAUUAUUAAAGACUAUGGUAAAUAUGAAGCAUUACUCUGCUGUUGUUUCCC